rnacentral:rRNA from 1 species
UUAUCGGUAGGGGAGCAUGCUCACAGCGUUGAAUGGUGUACGUAAGUUAUCCUGGAGCGGUGAGUAAAGCAAAUGUAGGAAUAAGUAACGAUAAGGAGGGUUAGAUUCCCUCCCGCUGUAAGACCAAGGUUUCCCGGGCAAUGCCAAUCAGCCCGGGGUCAGUCGGGUCCUAAGUCUAAGCCGAACGGCGAUGGAGAUGGCAGAGACGGUUAAUAUUCCGUCACCGCCGCAUGGGGCGACGUGGAGACGGAGCAGUGAAACCACCGCGGGGCGACGGAAGUCCCCGUUGAAGAGUGUAGGCGUUGAGGAUGGCAGGCAAAUCCACCGUCCGAGCUGAACUUGAGAGUAUGGAGUCUUCUUCGGAAGAAUCCAAUAGUGUGGGUAAUCAUACUCCCGAGAAAAUCCGCUAAGCUUAACCCAUGCGGCACCCGUACCGCAAACGGACACACGUGGUCGGGUAGAACAUACUGAGGCUUGAGAGAUUCAUGGUUAAGGAACUAGGCAAAUUGACCCUGUAACUUCGGGAUAAAGGGUCCUCGUGAAUAGCGAGGCGCAGAGAAUAGGUCCAGGCAACUGUUUAACAAAAACACAGGGCUGUGCAAACUCGAAAGAUGACGUAUACAGCCUGACACCUGCCCGGUGCCGGAAGGUUAAGAGGAGAUGUCACUCGCAAGAGGAAGCAUUGAAUUGAAGCCCCGGUAAACGGCGGCCGUAACAAUAACGGUCCUAAGGUAGCGAAAUUCCUUGUCGGGUAGUUCCGACCUGCACGAAUGGUGUAAUGAUCCGGACGCUGUCUCAACCAUGAGCUCAGUGAAAUUGUAGUAUCGGUGAAGAUGCCGAUUACCCGCGAUGGGACGAAAAGACCCCGUGAACCUUUACUACAGCUUAGCAUUGACCUUGGUCAUCCGAUGUGUAGGAUAGGCCGGAGGCUUCGAAGCGGGAGCGCCAGCUUUCGUGGAGCCAUCCUUGAAAUACGGCCCUUUGGCUGUCUGAGGUCUAACGCGCGAUGCGCGGACACUGCUUGGUGGGUAGUUUGACUGGGGUGGUCGCCUCCAAAAGCGUAACGGAGGCUUCCAAAGGUGCCCUCGGGUCGAUUGGUAACCGACCUCAAAGAGUGCAAUGGCAUAAGGGCGCUUGACUGGGAGGCAGACAUGCCGAGCAGGCAGGAAACUGGGCCAUAGUGAUCCGGCGGAUGUGUAUGGAAACUCCGUCGCUCAAAGGAUAAAUGGUACUCCGGGGAUAACAGGCUGAUCCCCCCCAAGAGCUCAUAUCGACGGGGUGGUUUGGCACCUCGAUGUCGGCUCGUCACGUCCUGGGGCUGGAGAAGGUCCCAAGGGUUGGGCUGUUCGCCCAUUAAAGUGGCACGCGAGCUGGGUUCAGAACGUCGUGAGACAGUUCGGUCUCUAUCUAUCGUGGGCGUGGGAGUUUUGCGUGGUGCCGUCACUAGUACGAGAGGACCGUGAUGGACAGACCUCCGGUUUACCAGUUGUGCCGCCAGGCGCACCGCUGGGUAUCUGAGUCUGGAUUGGAUAAGCGCUGAAAGCAUCUAAGUGCGAAGCCAGCCGCAAGAUGAGAACUCCAUUGAGGGUCGUCAGAGACGAUGACGUUGAUAGGAUGCAGGUGUAAAGACAGCGAUGUCAAAGCCGAGCAUUACUAAUUGCCCUU